GGUCGCGGGACGGUUGCUGGAGCCUAUCUCAGCUGCAUUCGGACGGAAGGCGGAGUACACCCUGGACAAGUCGCCACCUCACCACAGCUAUAAGGUCCUUCAGCAUUCUUGAUGACAUCCUGGCCGCCACGCUGGGAAAAAGUGUGCAGCAAGAAUAGAAAUAAGCCGGGCUGAGACACAUUGUUGGAGUUAGAGACAGAGAGAGAGAGAGAGAGAUAGCACGAACAGAGAACUUGGCUUUUAGUAGU